rnacentral:rRNA from 1 species
AUACAAAACCAAUGCCCUUCGGGGCUCUUUGGUGAUUCAUGAUAACUAUACGAAUCGCACGGCCUUGCGCCGGCGAUGGUUCAUUCAAAUUUCUUCCCUAUCAACUUUCGAUGUUUGGGUCUUGGCCAAACAUGGUUGCAACGGGUAACGGAGGGUUAGGGCUCGACCCCGGAGAAGGAGCCUGAGAAACGGCUACUACAUCCAAGGAAGGCAGCAGGCGCGCAAAUUACCCAAUCCCGACUCGGGGAGGUAGUGACAAUAAAUACUGAUACAGGGCCCUUUCGGGCCUUGUAAUUGGAAUGAGUACAAUUUAAAUCCCUUAACGAGGAACAAUUGGAGGGCAAGUCUGGUGCCAGCAGCCGCGGUAAUUCCAGCUCCAAUAGCGUAUAUUAAAGUUGUUGUGGUUAAAAAGCUCGUAGUUGAACCUUGGGCCUGGCUGGCCGGUCCGCCUCACCGCGUGCACUGGUCCGGCCGGGCCUUUCCCUCUGUGGAACCCCAUACCCUUCACUGGGCGUGGC